UUGCAUAGUGCCGUGACUGCCGUCACCUAGGGCUUUCACAGCACUAACACUCCCAAGUCCCAAGUCCCAAUUCCCAAAUCGAAGCUGCUCUCUGCCUCUCCGGCCUCCGCCAGUCCGCCGCGCUCUACGUCUCCUGUCGGCUGUGUCCUGCCGUGCUGGUUCAUCGCUGCCGAGUGUCGAAGACGAAGCACCAAGAUCUCACUAGUUCAUCGCUGGUUCAUCACUGCUCAUCUCUGGCUCACUUAGGUAAGUGCUCCUCUGUUUUUGGCUCUGUGUCUCUGGCAUUAAAAUGGGCCAAGAUCGACUAGGAAAUUUGUUAUCCUGAAUUGAUAAGGGGACGAAAUCUGAGCUUCCAAUUGCAAACUCUAACUGUUGUAGUAGUUUAGAUUAGGUGUGAUAUAACAUAAGCUUUGUAUUUUAUACACAAGAAGCUCUCUCCAGUUGUGCAGCCUUUAAAAGGUAAGGCCUUGGGGAAAAAUUCCACCUUUUACCCGUUAGAAAAAUUAAAAAGGAAAAAACUUGCUAAAAUGAAAAUUUUACCUCCUUUUCCGUGGAGAUUCUCAAUCUCUGGUGCACAUCUAGUGAAAGUACGGCUCCAGAAGUUGUACCUAGGAUUCUGGAUAUGAAUUUUCUGCAAUGUGAAAGAGAAACAUCUAAUGGCUUGCGGGGGUUGGUAGUUGCUGAACUAUAAAGAUUGGUUUAUAUAUUCUCUUAAUUUGCUUCAGGUUUUUUUUAAAUAAUAGAUGAAUUCGGUCUAACCGAAUUCAGACCGAAUUCAUUACCGUUUUCGAAUUUGAAAUCGGGUACCGCAUGAAUUCGGUAAUGCCCUGCAAUAACCGAAAAAACCGAAUUCAGCGCACCGAUUUACCGCAUUUGCACCGAAUGCUCACCCCGAGUUGUUUGUUGUCAUUCGUGUGUUAAAGAGGCUAAAAGGCUCUGGCAGUCCAGCAAUUCCAAUAUAUUGCCGUGCGAAAAUAGCAUUCUCUGCCUAAUGGAUACGGUCCAUAAAAGGUAGGAAAUGAAAGUUUAAACUCCACUUACCAUCCAUAGUUGUUGGUGAACUAUUAGAGCUAGUUAAUGAUCUGUGAUUAAUUGAUUAUUAAAUCAUGAAUGUCUUUGGCUGGACGUACGGCAGGUUCAUCUUAUGAAUUUGCAUUCAUACAGGAAUUUGCAUUCUUUAAAUAGGGGCGGGUACCCUAUGACCCGCCCCUAUUUUUCGGGUAUCUGAAGAUCAGGUACCAUACCCGAG
rnacentral:lncRNA from 1 species